rnacentral:rRNA from 1 species
UACGGGGGGGGGCAAGCGUUGUUCGGAAUUACUGGGCGUAAAGGGCUCGUAGGCGGCCAACUAAGUCCGACGUGAAAUCCCCAGGCUUAACCUGGGAACUGCGUCGGAUACUGGAUGGCUUGAAUUCGGGAGAGGGAUGCAGAAUUCCAGGUGUAGCGGUGAAAUGCGUAGAUAUCGGGAGGAACACCAGUGGCGAAAGCGGCUACCUGGCCCAUUCUUGACGCUGAGGCGCGAAAGCUAGGGGAGCAAACGGG